rnacentral:rRNA from 1 species
UACGUAGGGACCAAGCGUUGUUCGGAUUUACUGGGCGUAAAGGGCGCGUAGGCGGCUUGACAAGUCACUUGUGAAAUCUCCGGGCUUAACUCGGAACGGCCAAGUGAAACUGUCAUGCUAGAGUGCAGAAGGGGCAAUCGGAAUUCUUGGUGUAGCGGUGAAAUGCGUAGAUAUCAAGAGGAACACCUGAGGUGAAGACGGGGUUGCUGGGCUGACACUGACGCUGAGGCGCGAAAGCCAGGGGGAGCAAACGGG